rnacentral:rRNA from 1 species
UACAGAGGGUGCGAGCGUUAAUCGGAAUUACUGGGCGUAAAGCGCGCGCGGGCGGUCAGAGGCGUCGGUGCUCAAAGUCCACCGCUUAACGGUGGGAGGCGCGCCGAUACGCUCUGACUGGAGGGCGGGCGAGGGUGGUGGAAUUGCCGGUGUAGUGGUGAAAUGCGUAGAGAUCGGCAGGAACACCAGUGGCGAAGGCGGCCACCUAGCCCGCACCUGACGCUGAGGCGCGACAGCGUGGGGAGCGAACUGG